UACGGGGGGUGCAAGCGUUACUCGGAAUCAUUGGGCGUAAAGGGCGCGUAGGCGGCCUGGUAAGUCAGAUGUGAAAGCCCGGGGCUCAACCCCGGAAGUGCAUUUGAUACUGCUGGGCUUGAGUAUGGGAGAGGGAAGUGGAAUUCCUGGUGUAGAGGUGAAAUUCGUAGAUAUCAGGAGGAACACCGGUGGCGAAGGCGACUUCCUGGACCAAUACUGACGCUGAGGCGCGAAGGCGUGGGGAGCAAACAGG
rnacentral:rRNA from 1 species